CGUGUGAACAAAUGGGGCCUUCUCAGGG
rnacentral:piRNA from 1 species